rnacentral:rRNA from 1 species
UACGUAGGGGGCGAGCGUUGUCCGGAAUCAUUGGGCGUAAAGAGCGUGUAGGCGGUUCGGUAAGUCUGCCGUGAAAACCUGGGGCUCAACCCUGGGCGUGCGGUGGAAACUGUCGAGCUAGAGGAUGGUAGAGGGGAGUGGAAUUCCCGGUGUAGCGGUGAAAUGCGCAGAUAUCGGGAGGAACACCUAUGGCGAAGGCAGCUCGCUGGGACGUUACUGACGCUGAGACGCGAAAGCGUGGGGAGCAAACAGG